AGCAGCCGCGGUAAUUCCAGCUCCAAUAGCGUAUAUUAAAGUUGUUGCAGUUAAAAAGCUCGUAGUUGAAUUUCGGGAUCAAUACGUCGGUCGUGCUUCGGUACGUACUGGCGUCAUUGAUUUCUCCUUUCUGACGAACCAUGAUGUCAUUAAUUUGGUGUUAUGGGGAGUUAGGACUGUUACUUUGAAAAAAUUAGAGUGUUUAAAGCAGGCUAACGCUUGAAUACAUUAGCAUGGAAUAAUGAAAUAGGACGAUCGAUCCUAUUUUGUUGGUUUCUAGGAUUGACGUAAUGAUUAAUAGGGAUAGUUGGGGGCAUUAGUAUUCAAUUGUCAGAGGUGAAAUUCUUGGAUUUAUUGAAGACUAACUACUGCGAAAGCAUUUGCCAAGGAUGUUUUCAUUAAUCAAGAACGGAAGUUAGGGGAUCGAAGACGAUCAGAUACCGUCGUAGUCUUAACCAUAAACUAUGCCGACUAGGGAUCGGAUGAUGUUAAUUUUUAAUGACUCAUUCGGCGCCUUACG
rnacentral:rRNA from 1 species